UGGGGAAUAUUGGACAAUGGGCGCAAGCCUGAUCCAGCCAUGCCGCGUGAGUGAUGAAGGCCCUAGGGUUGUAAAGCUCUUUCACCGGUGAAGAUAAUGACGGUAACCGGAGAAGAAGCCCCGGCUAACUUCGUGCCAGCAGCCGCGGUAAUACGAAGGGGGCUAGCGUUGUUCGGAUUUACUGGGCGUAAAGCGCACGUAGGCAGACUAUUAAGUCAGGGGUGAAAUCCCGGGGCUCAACCCCGGAACUGCCUUUGAUACUGGUAGUCUUGAGUUCGAGAGAGGUGAGUGGAAUUCCGAGUGUAGAGGUGAAAUUCGUAGAUAUUCGGAGGAACACCAGUGGCGAAGGCGGCUCACUGGCUCGAUACUGACGCUGAGGUGCGAAAGCGUGGGGAGCAAACAGG
rnacentral:rRNA from 1 species